rnacentral:lncRNA from 1 species
AUUAUAUGUUACAAAAAAAUUCACAAGAAGAGAGGAAAUACUGAGGAGAAAAUGGCAGAUUGUGUUUGCUGAAUUUGAUUGACGAAGAAGUCACCAUGAAAAUCACAGUGAACCAUUUGGAAAGCAAACUGCCAAAAAAUAAUAGUUAGUCAUGCUCUCAGGCUGGUUGUUUUGGCUGUUGUGGGUUUCUUGCAUUUCCAGAUGAUUGCAAAGAGCUGUUUCUCAAUUUCUGCAACAAGUGCCAGCUGAAAUUUUGGUACCAGUUUCAUUAAAUAUGUAGAACAAUUUGAGCCUGAGUGAGUUCUGUGGAGCCCAUACUACCUGCGAUUCAAGCCAGCAACCUUGGAAUCUCCCUGAACAAUUUCUAUGGUGUCCAAUCACAUUUGCAAUCACUCCCCACACUCAGACUGUGUAUUUUUGGCUGCUCUCCAAGCCCUUGAGGAAAACACUUGGAGUCAAUCUCAUCCUUUUGAUGCAGUGCUG